rnacentral:rRNA from 1 species
AACCUGGCGGCGUGCCUAAUACAUGCAGUAGAACGCUGACCUCUGGUGCUUGCACUAGAGUGAUGAGUUGCGAACGGGUGAGUAACGCGUAGGUAACCUACCUUUAAGCGGGGGAUAACUAUUGGAAACGAUAGCUAAUACCGCAUAACAACUUUUAACACACGUUAGGAGUUUGAAAGGGGCAACUGCCUCACUUAGAGAUGGACCUGCGUUGUAUUAGCUAGUUGGUAGGGUAAAGGCCUACCAAGGCGACGAUACAUAGCCGACCUGAGAGGGUGAUCGGCCACACUGGGACUGAGACACGGCCCAGACUCCUACGGGAGGCAGCAGUAGGGAAUCUUCGGCAAUGGGGGCAACCCUGACCGAGCAACGCCGCGUGAGUGAAGAAGGUUUUAGGAUCGUAAAGCUCUGUUGUAAGAGAAGAAUGUUGUGUAGAGUGGAAAGUUACACAAGUGACGGUAUCUUACCAGAAAGGGACGGCUAACUACGUGCCAGCAGCCGCGGUAAU